rnacentral:rRNA from 1 species
UUGUCGUCAGCUCGUGCCGUGAGGUGUCGGGUUAAGUCCCAUAACGAGCGCAACCCUUAUCGUUAGUUGCCAGCGGGUAAUGCCGGGGACUCUAGCGAAACUGCCGGUGUAAACCGAGAGGAAGGUGGGGAUGACGUCAAAUCAGCACGGCCCUUAUGUCCAGGGCUACACACGUGUUACAAUGGCCGGUACAGAGGGCAGCUACCUGGAGACAGGAUGCGAAUCUCGAAAGCCGGUCUCAGUUCGGAUCGGAGUCUGCAACUCGACUCCGUGAAGCUGGAUUCGCUAGUAAUCGCGCAUCAGCCAUGGCGCGGUGAAUACGUUCCCGGGCCUU